CCGCGGCUGUAGGGCGGCGCUGCUGUAAAUCCCCCGAGUCUCAGCGCUGCGUUGGUGUUGAAUUGAAACCGAGUGCUUGCUAACGCAAAAUAAUUGCUUCGUUUACUAUGUUAAACAUUAUAUAGCGAAACCGGACUUUAAUCAUUGAAUUAAUAUAAACCCGUACACUUUAUUUACAGGAGUUUCGGGUUCAACUGAAGAAAGGUUAGUUUAGUUUGGGGCUCGUUUUUUUCUGUUAGCUAACAGAUUUAGCACCGAGCUAACAGGCUAACGCUAAUAACGGGGCUGCGCUGGAGGCACGCGCGCACAUCAGUCGCACACACCACGCAGUUUAUAAUUAUAUUACAGUAGUUUAUAUAUAAUUAGUCAUUUAUAGAGGUUAUUUAAGCCUGUAGUCAUGAUUAAUCCGCGGUAUCUGCUUAAAUAUGCGUAAAUCUGCAGCUUUCGCCUGCCGGAACACAGUAUGCUCAGAUGUACUGGGCGGGGCUAUGUUGUUGGACGUAUUGACGUGAGAGACGUUUCCCACCAAUCAGAAGAAGGCGUGGUUUGUCGUCACAGAAACCCAGCGUUUUUAAGAUUUUGACAGAAACACAUUUUAAAGAAGAGGAGCGACCAGGUAAAACAUUAAUGUUCCUCCUCCUCCUCCUUUUCUCAUUGUUACUAUUACUUGCUAUAAAUUAUUGUAAAAUAAUCAUAUUUUUGCGAUUGUUUCCAGCUGUAAAGAUGGAAAAGUCCAGCAGUGCGUCUGAGCAGCCACGCCGCAGCCCAGUCGAAGACGAGUUGGAUGGGUUUCCAGUUUUGAGGGCAGUCGAGGAGGACUGGGACAGCAGCUCCAGUUCAAAAACCCAGCACAGCGACGACCCUGACGAGAACGAAAAUGAGAAAGCCCAGCAGUCUCGAACGAAGGAGGGAACGUCCCGAAAUGAGCCCAGUGUAAGUUGUAUUAAAAAUAAAAUAAAAAAAGCAGCUGUGUUCGUCUCUGCUGUAGCAGUAACAAGACCC
rnacentral:lncRNA from 1 species